rnacentral:rRNA from 1 species
UGGGGAAUAUUGCACAAUGGGCGCAAGCCUGAUGCAGCCAUGCCGCGUGUAUGAAGAAGGCCUUCGGGUUGUAAAGUACUUUCAGCGGGGAGGAAGGGAGUAAAGUUAAUACCUUUGCCCAUUGACGUUACCCGCAGAAGAAGCACCGGCUAACUCCGUGCCAGCAGCCGCGGUAAUACGGAGGGUGCAAGCGUUAAUCGGAAUUACUGGGCGUAAAGCGCACGCAGGCGGUUUGUUAAGUCAGAUGUGAAAUCCCCGGGCUCAACCUGGGAAAUGCAUCUGAUACUGGGAAGCUUGAGUCUCGUAGAGGGGGGUGGAAUUCCAGGUGUAGCGGUGAAAUGCGUAGAGAUCUGGAGGAAUACCGGUGGCGAAGGCGGCCCCCUGGACGAAGACUGACGCUCAGGUGCGAAAGCGUGGGGAGCAAACAGG